GUGCCAGCAGCCGCGGUAAUACAGAGGUCCCGAGCGUUGUUCGGAUUCACUGGGCGUAAAGGGUGCGUAGGUGGCCUAAAAAGUUUGAUGUGAAAGCUCAGGGCUUAACCCUGAAAUGGCAUUGAAUACUGUUGGGCUGGAGGUUUGGAGGGGGGACUGGAAUUCUUGGUGUAGCAGUGAAAUGCGUAGAUAUCAAGAGGAACACCAGUGGCGAAGGCGAGUCCCUGGACAACACCUGACACUGAGGCACGAAAGCUAGGGGAGCAAACAGGAUUAGAAACCCGGGUAGUCC
rnacentral:rRNA from 1 species